rnacentral:rRNA from 1 species
UACGUAGGGAGCAAGCGUUGUCCGGAAUCAUUGGGCGUAAAGCGCGCGUAGGCGGCCUCAUAAGUCCGUUGUGAAAGUCAAAGGCUCAACCUUUGAAAGCCGAUGGAUACUGUGAGGCUAGAGUCCGGAAGAGGCGAGUGGAAUUCCUGGUGUAGCGGUGGAAUGCGCAGAUAUCAGGAGGAACACCAAUUGCGAAGGCAGCUCGCUGGGACGUUACUGACGCUGAGACGCGAAAGCGUGGGGAGCAAACAGG